rnacentral:lncRNA from 12 species
ACUCAAUGGACUGAGCUACCUAGGCAUCCCUAUGAGGAUAUUUUCUGCUUAAAAAGUUAAGAUCCCUUUUCUUUUCCCCAUCUCUACCACCAUGACAUCAAAUUAAUGUUCUGAAGUGACACUUACUACAAAGAAAGUGCUAAAAUCAAGGUGAAUAUUCCCUUCUCAAAAGCUAGUAUAUAAUAAAUCAACGGUUGCUUGUUUUUCAGGUAUGUAAAUUUCAUCUGUCUUUUGAAGGACCAACAAUUCAUCAAGAGAAGAAGAAGUGGUUGUACAUUUUGGUAUGCAGAAAUAGAAAGUAAACCUAAAAGCCGUGUGCCCUCAGGAACCAGUGGAGACUAAUAUCCCUGACAUUUGUUCCUCAAGACAUGAUUUUUCUCAGGUUUGAAUAUUCUUAAUUUUAGCUAGUAUACAUUUAUUUCUACCCCAUUUUCCCCUCUGUUUUUUAAUGGUAAGAACAGAUAACAUGAGAUCUAUCCUCUUAACAAAUUAUUAGUGUACAGUAUAGUAUUGUUAACGAUAAGCCAUUGU